GCGCUAGUAGUUGAAUGGUACAAUACGGCCUUGCCAAGGCUGUGGCCCGGGUUCGAUUCCCGGCUGGCGCA
rnacentral:tRNA from 1 species